rnacentral:rRNA from 1 species
UACAGAGGUCCCAAGCGUUGUUCGGAUUUACUGGGCGUAAAGGGUGCGUAGGCGGUCGGGUAAGUCUGAUGUGAAAUCUCCGAGCUUAACUCGGAAAUGGCAUUGGAUACUAUUCGGCUAGAGAGUUGGAGGGGGGACUGGAAUACUUGGUGUAGCAGUGAAAUGCGUAGAUAUCAAGUGGAACACCAGUGGCGAAGGCGAGGUCCUGGACGCCUACUGACGCUGAGACGCGAAAGCCAGGGGAGCGAACGGG